GAGACCUUUCCUCGUCUGUGCACAGACUGGCAGCCGACUCUGGAACCCAGAUUGUUGCUUCCCGGUCUAGUGAUCCUUCCUCCAUAGUCUGAUACUCCCACACGGGAGGUACUGGAACAACUAGGUCAGCUACAGGACUUGGGGGAUCGGAUGCCCUGUGGGGAGGAGAGGAUUAAGGAGUGGGGCAGACAAACCCGGGACCAAUCUCAGACUAAUCAGAAGGCUGACCAACAAGCUAAAAUUUCCACUAUUACUGCAGACUCAGGCCCAGAAGAACCGGAUUGGGCUGCGCUCAUGCAAUGGGUGCAUCUCCAGUGAGGACAUCUAGGCAUCCAGGGAACCAUGGCUUGGGGACAGCAAAGAGGGAUAUCAUUACCGAAGGAUGUGGUUCACACAACUUUAUCCCAACGCACUACACGCCAACAGUUAAAAACUAAGCCAGUUCCUCAGAGGGUUUUGGGGCACAUUCAUAGGGGAAAAAUGCCAGGACAAAUUUGGCAAAUGGACUAUACUUGUCCUUUGCCACUUCUAAAGGGUGCCAAUACAUAUGUACUUCUGUAGACACCUGCUCAGGGUUCCUAGUAGCCUGCGCUUAUGCUAAUGCU
rnacentral:lncRNA from 1 species